AGAGUUUGAUCAUGGCUCAGAUUGAACGCUGGCGGCAGGCUUAACACAUGCAAGUCGAACGGUAACAGAACUAGCUUGCUAGUUGCUGACGAGUGGCGGACGGGUGAGUAACGCGUAGGAAUCUACCGAAUAGUGGGGGACAACAGUUGGAAACGGCUGCUAAUACCGCAUACGCCCUACGGGGGAAAGGAGGGGAUCUUCGGACCUUUCGCUAUUUGAUGAGCCUGCGUGAGAUUAGUUAGUUGGUGGGGUAAUGGCUCACCAAGGCGACGAUCUCUAGCUGGUCUGAGAGGAUGAUCAGCCACACUGGGACUGAGACAUGGCCCAGACUCCUACGGGAGGCAGCAGUGGGGAAUAUUGCACAAUGGGGGAAACCCUGAUGCAGCCAUGCCGCGUGUGUGAAGAAGGCCUUCGGGUUGUAAAGCACUUUCAGUUGUGAGGAAAGGUUAAGGGUUAAUAACCCUUAGCUGUGACGUA
rnacentral:rRNA from 1 species